rnacentral:rRNA from 1 species
AAGGAUCAUUACCGAGUGCGGGCUGCCUCCGGGCGCCCAACCUCCCACCCGUGACUACCUAACACUGUUGCUUCGGCGGGGAGCCCCCCAGGGGCGAGCCGCCGGGGACCACUGAACUUCAUGCCUGAGAGUGAUGCAGUCUGAGCCUGAAUACAAAUCAGUCAAAACUUUCAACAAUGGAUCUCUUGGUUCCGGCAUCGAUGAAGAACGCAGCGAACUGCGAUAAGUAAUGUGAAUUGCAGAAUUCAGUGAAUCAUCGAGUCUUUGAACGCACAUUGCGCCCCCUGGCAUUCCGGGGGGCAUGCCUGUCCGAGCGUCAUUGCUGCCCUCAAGCCCGGCUUGUGUGUUGGGUCGUCGUCCCCCCCGGGGGACGGGCCCGAAAGGCAGCGGCGGCACCGUGUCCGGUCCUCGAGCGUAUGGGGCUUUGUCACCCGCUCGAUUAGGGCCGGCCGGGCGCCAGCCGGCGUCUCCAACCUUAUUUUUCUCAGGUUGACCUCGGAUCAGGUAGGGAUACCCGCUGAACUUAAGCAUAUCAAUAAGCGGAGGAAAAGAAACCAACCGGGAUUGCCUCAGUAACGGCGAGUGAAGCGGCAAGAGCUCAAAUUUGAAAGCUGGCCCCUUCGGGGUCCGCGUUGUAAUUUGCAGAGGAUGCUUCGGGUGCGGCCCCUGUCUAAGUGCCCUGGAACGGGCCGUCAGAGAGGGUGAGAAUCCCGUCUUGGGCAGGGUGCCCGUGCCCGUGUGAAGCUCCUUCGACGAGUCGAGUUGUUUGGGAAUGCAGCUCUAAAUGGGUGGUAAAUUUCAUCUAAAGCUAAAUACCGGCCGGAGACCGAUAGCGCACAAGUAGAGUGAUCGAAAGAUGAAAAGCACUUUGAAAAGAGAGUUAAACAGCACGUGAAAUUGUUGAAAGGGAAGCGCUUGCGACCAGACUCGGCCCCGGGGUUCAGCCAGCACUCGUGCUGGUGUACUUCCCCGGGGGCGGGCCAGCGUCGGUUUGGGCGGCCGGUCAAAGGCCCCAGGAAUGUAUCGCCCUCCGGGGUUGUCUUAUAGCCUGGGGUGCAAUGCGGCCAGCCCGGACCGAGGAACGCGCUUCGGCACGGACGCUGGCGUAAUGGUCGCAAACGACC